GUCAGGGAGGGAGGAAGAGGUGAGAAUAGCUCUUCUUUGUCUAAAAUCAGAGUUCAGGGAGUCCUCUUCAGACCAACCAGAGAUAGGGGCUGGAUCACCAAAGAGACAGACACCAGAGACCCUUCGGGAAGGCACCAGGAAUGUUGCAGUGCUCCAAGGUACAAGUGAGCCUGGGAAAUGUCAGCUGGGCAUUAGAAGACAGCUUCUAACCUACAGAGGAGUGAAGCAUUGGCCUCCCAGGAGGAACAGAUGGGACAAGAAGCCACCCAACCUAGAGAUGGACUCUGAGCAGAUUCUGGUGUGGUGACCCAGAGCAGAGGCUGGUGCUGCUCCUCCCUGUCCUCUGUGCCCUGUUCCUGGAUAAACAGUGCCCAGCGAUAAGGUGCCCAUGUGUAAAAGGGGUGGGGACUGAGCAGCCUCAGUAAGUGUGGUCAGUUCCCCAUCACUUGAAGUUUUCCACCCAGACUGGCAUCUCCUCCCCCAGCACCACCACCAGCAGCCACGUGUUCACGUUGGGUGACAGGGUGAGGCUGUGUCUUUUGCCGCAGGCCAUAUCAGACUGGAUGAUGGGGUGGAUGACUUUUAGGCUCCUGCACCAGGAAGGAAGGACAGAUUUUAAUGCGUCAUGUCUUGAGAAGUCUUUAGCCCUGGAUCCUGUCCUGUUUAUUUUGUGUCAAGAGGAGGAGCAUGAGCUGAAGAAGGGGCUUGAAUGAAGACGGAAGGCAUCACCCCAGAGGUACUGUCCUGCCUCUGAGCUAAUCAGCCCUGCUACUUACUGGGACUUCAAACUGUUUUCUCUGCACACCGGGGUACCAGCUCCCCGAGAGCUGAUUCUGGGAGGGGGUCUUUACCCACCCCUGAGCUGAGCUGCCGUGCUCAGCCUGGACCCCCAGCCCGACAGCAGUGAGUCGGGGACGUGCAGUCGGCCAGAGCUGGCCAGGAAAACCCAGAGGGAAACAUUUCCUGCUGCGAAAGGCUCUCCCAUCCAAACUGGAACAUUUCAGGAGACGUUGCUGAUUUCACAGAGGUUGUGUAUUUUUUUAUUUUUUUUUAAAGAAAAAUAAUGAGGGGAAGGAGAGGAAAGUUUUCCUGACUCUGUUCCAUCCUUUUUAUCAGAAGUUAGGAAUAUAAGAAGGUGCCUCGCGGCUCAAAUCCAGCCCAGUGCUAUCUCAGUAUUUGACAUUAUUUGUCAUUUGGGGAAGAAUUUCAAAAUGUUUAGAUUUCAUUUCAGUUCAAAAUGAAACCCCAAACUCAACCCUUCCUCCCCCUCCUCACCAAGCAGCAUUGCCAUCCUUCCCCAACCGUGCUUUUAGGACCAUCAUUUGCUGCAAAACCAAACAGGUUUUUGGGCCAAUGUCUGUAACCUCCAGCUCAAACAAAGCCGGGCGCUGGGUUUGCUCACUCGGCCGUGACAGAUCCAGCCCCAGGCACCUUCUGCCUCCCCGUAAACGGGGCGUUGGGGGGGGUCCUGUCCCCACCAGCUCUAGACGUCACAUUUCCAGCGGGUUCUUCCACCUUGAAUGCUGGAUGUCUCAGCGAAGGUCACCAUCGCCAGCAGCCCCUGCUUUCGCACGUUGUUUUCCCAACCCACGGCACCGGCCGAUGUUGGAAGGGGACAGGAUGAUCACAAUAUUGAGAAAGCUCAACCCAAGCAAAUGGAGAAUUUAUAAACUUCUGGCCUAGCACGCAGGCUGCAAGGUCACCCCUUAUCUGAGUUUGCAGAGGGUUUGCAAAGUGCUGGCAGCCCUCCAAAUAUGUUUGGGAGUUUUUACUCUAACCUAAGGCUGCUGGACUCCCACAUUUGACAUUUUCCAAGUGCUGUUAAACGACGAGGCAGAGACCAGGAACAACGCGUGAUUAUAACAGCGUUCUGGGAUAGGGAAAGCUGCUAGCUGAGGUUUUCCAAGAGCCGUAGCAAGUGUGAAGGCUCAGCAGCCUGGAUGCUCAUCCCACAGAAUCCCUUCAUCGGAGAUGCUGCGGGGUAGCGGGAGAGUGAUAGGCACAGCCAGCGCUUGCCACUUGAAAGCCUUUUAAUCACAGUCCAAAGGUGGAAUAAUAGGGUUUUGCAAAGGGAAAAGGAUGGGAUAGGUUUAUUAGGGCUGCUCUGGGAGCAUCCCUGCCUGGUUGCCUCUGCUUUGCCUGCAGAUACUCCGUAGGCUGCAUCGUCAUGGUUCAAGACCCUGCCAAGGAUCCCAUGCACUGCUCUUUGCCAAAGCCACAGGGUCUGGGUCUGGGCUGCCACCCCCGUUUCACAAAGAAAUGAGACAAAAAGGAACUAUGAGGAUGAUUCAGAGUCAGUAAAGGAGCUUGUGGCCUUGAACCCGGGUUUCUCAAGGUCUGCAUUAACCCCUGCAUAGAUGAUUCUUCCCCCUUGUGCCUCAAUUAAUCCAUCAGUAGCAAGGGCCAGCCACCGUUAGAGAGCUGCAUACAUUAACGGAUGUGCUCAGCGUUGCACAAUCAUGUAAAUGCGCUGAGGUGCUCUAAUCCUCAGCUGGGAAUAUUUCUGUUAUUUGGUGGAAAAAAGGGGAAGAGAGAAAAUCCUCACUGAAGACAGAUAAAAAUAGAAACUCGCUCGUGGUUUUAUUUUCCCUCUUUCUUCCUUUUAUGAGGGUGGAAAACUGACUGUGCAGGGCAAGGAGUAAAAGAAAACAAAAGAAAGAGGAAGGAAAAACAAAACCCAAAAGUGCUGGUUUUCCUUCUUUCCUUCUCAAGAAAACAAGUCCAGAAAAUCUCUUCCAAAAUACAAGUUUUCACCCAACAGCUGCCCCCACUUAAAAAACAUUUUUGAAAGGGGAAAUGAUGAAAGGAGAGGAAUGGCUGAGAAAAAGCGGGAUGUGCUUGAAUAGAAAUUGGAUUGGAAGUGCAGAGGGGGUUAUUGGUCAGAUAGGGAGGAUUAUUUUACAUCUUGACCACCUAUACAACCGCACAUUGGCCCACCUAAAUGAAUUGUUGGUUUAAUCAUCCUGGUCAAAGUCCUCUGGCUACAAGCAAGGCUUGUUGUACUGUGGAUUAACAGGGGGAAAAAAUUAAGGGAUUCUAUAUACACAGGUUUUCUGGCUUUGGUUGGAAAGCCCAGGGUCAGAGCAAAGCUCUGAUUUCAAAGAACUGUAUUUUGAAUGAUCCUGUUUAUUCCAAGUGUCUGCUCAGGCUUUGACUCCGAGCUAUUAAUACAAAAUAAAUAAUUUUUACAUGAGCUAUUUUUGCCUCCAUUGCCAGAAAAAUAAAGCCAGGCGGCCACAUAAGUGACACGUGCGAAUGGCAGAGAGGGAGUGAGACGGGACCGUGGGCU